ensembl:snoRNA SNORD24 Small nucleolar RNA SNORD24
UGCCACAAUGAUGACACUUAUUUGCUACUCUUGACAAGAGAAUGAUGAGAGCUCUCAACCACCUGUAUUUCAAACUGAGGCA